UAGGGAAUCUUCGGCAAUGGACGAAAGUCUGACCGAGCAACGCCGCGUGAGUGAAGAAGGUUUUCGGAUCGUAAAACUCUGUUGUUAGAGAAGAACAAGGACGUUAGUAACUGAACGUCCCCUGACGGUAUCUAACCAGAAAGCCACGGCUAACUACGUGCCAGCAGCCGCGGUAAUACGUAGGUGGCAAGCGUUGUCCGGAUUUAUUGGGCGUAAAGCGAGCGCAGGCGGUUUCUUAAGUCUGAUGUGAAAGCCCCCGGCUCAACCGGGGAGGGUCAUUGGAAACUGGGAGACUGGAGUGCAGAAGAGGAGAGUGGAAUUCCAUGUGUAGCGGUGAAAUGCGUAGAUAUAUGGAGGAACACCAGUGGCGAAGGCGGCUCUCUGGUCUGUAACUGACGCUGAGGCUAGGAAGCGUGGGGAGCAAACAGG
rnacentral:rRNA from 1 species